rnacentral:rRNA from 1 species
AAUCUUGCGCAAUGGGCGAAAGCCUGACGCAGCCAUGCCUCGUGAAUGAUUAAGGUCUUAGGUUUGUAAAUUUCUUUCACCGGGGACGAUAAUGACGGUACCCGGAGAAGAAGCACCGGCUAACUUCGUGCCAGCAGCCGCGGUAAUACGAAGGGGGCUAGCUUUGCUCGGAAUUACUGGGCGUAAAGGGCGCGUAAGCGGAUCGUUAAUUCAGGGGUGAAAUCCCGGGGCUCAACCGCGGAAGUGCCCUUGAUACGUGAGAUUUAGAGUAUGAGAGAGGUAUGUGGAACUCCGAGUGUAGAGGUGAAAUUCGUAGAUAUUCGGAAGAACACCAGUGGCGAAGGCGACAUACUGGCUCAUUACUGACGCUGAGGCGCGAAAGCGUGGGGAGCAAA